rnacentral:tRNA from 1 species
UUAACUAAAGCCAAAAAGAGGCUUUUCAUUGUUAAUGAAAUUAUUGGGAUAAACACCCUAGUUAAA